CAGUCUGGAAUUCGAGAAAAACACAGUAUUUUUUUAGAAAGUUCAUUAUAGCACACUAGCGCUUCACGCGGUGCAGUACUAACAAACCUUUUUCUCUCUAGCACGUGAGGCUCACACAUGCGUUCCUUCUCCAGAAAGAUUACAGAACAGGUAAUCGUAACUCACCUCCACUAAGUCGGUUCUAUCGUAACUACUGAACGGAUCCAUUAUUAAGUUCAUUCGAUUCUUCAACUAAGCAAAUACAAAGACUGUCGUACAAACGUAACAAUAUGUUCGUUACAGAAAAUUGUCACGAUUUACGCGAAGGUAAAUGUAUGUCACAGCGCGGCGUGAACAAGUCGCAUCACUGUCUGUUGGAAAACAGAUCGAAAACAAUUAUACCUCAAACUAAACACGAGGUCGCGGCGUUGUCGCGCAACGCGAUACUGAUCGCCGGUCGCCGAAA